AUGGUGUGUCAUACAUCUAAUCAGAUCUCACGGUCCAGGGAGCAAAUCACUUUCCCAUGGGAAAGCGUGAGAUGCUUGUGCUGGGCCUUGCACAUGGCUCCCUACCUCCGGCGUAGCACCCAGCAGGGUAGAGUUGGCAGGCUGAUGAAGCUGCUUUGGCAUUGCCAAGGCUGCCGGGCAGGGGUGCUGUCCUGGGCUCUGCCACGAGCCCGGCAGGGCCAGCUGGGCCACCCCAUCAUGUCCAUGGUGAGCAGGGUCCCAGGAGGGCUUCCUGUCCCUUCAAUCCURUUCUGUCUCAUCCUCUCCUGUCCCAGCCUCACCUGUCUGCCUCACCUCGUCCCACCUGUCCCAUUCAAUUCCUUCCUGUCCCAUGCUGCUCCAUCCUAUUACAUCCAUCUCAUCCCAUCCCACCUGUCCUAUCUCAUCCUGUCCCAUUCUAUCCUCACCCGUCCAUCCUUGACUGUCUGUCCCAUCUUGUCCCACCUGUCCUAUCCCACCUAUCCUGUCCUGUUCUGUCCUGCCCCAUUCUCUCAUGUCUGUCCUAUUCCAUCCUGUCCUGUCCCGUUCCAUCCUCUCCCAUUUGGCUCAUCUUAUCCCACCUAUCCUGUUCUGUCUCACCUUGUCCCAUCCAGUCCCAUCCUCACUCAUCCAGCUCAUCCUAUCCCAUCCCACCUGCCCUAUGUCAUCCCACCCCAUCCCUUCCCUUCCCAUUCCAUCCUCUCCUGUCUCAUCCAAUCCUGUCCCACCUAUCCUAUCCCAUCCUGUCCUGUCCCUCCUUUCUUGCCCUCUCUUAUCCAUUUCAUCCCAUCUCACUCAUCCUAUCUCAUCCCAUCCCAUCCCAUCCUGUCCCAUCAUGUCCCAUCCUCUUCCAUCCAUCUCUUCCCAUCUCAUCUGUCCCAUCCCAUCCCAUCCAAUCCUGUCCCACUCCACCUUCUGCUGUCUGUCUCAUCCCAUCCCAUCCCACCCAUCCUAUCUCAUUCCAUCCCAUCCCACCUAUCCCAUCCUUUCUCAUCCCAUCCCAUCCCAUCCUCACCCCAGCCACCACUGUGUCACUGCCUGCAUCUCCUCAUGAUAAAUCUGGUGCAAGCAUCUGGUCCUGACCAAUUUCACGUGCCACAUGUUCCUUUUCUGGCCCAAUGCCAUUUGCCCAUGCCUGCCUGGAGGUAA
rnacentral:lncRNA from 1 species